GGGAACAUACCCUUUUCUACGGAAUAGCUCUGGGAAACUGGAAUUAAUACCGUAUACGCCCUACGGGGGAAAGAUUUAUCGGGGAAGGAUUGGCCCGCGUUGGAUUAGCUAGUUGGUGGGGUAAAGGCCUACCAAGGCGACGAUCCAUAGCUGGUCUGAGAGGAUGAUCAGCCACAUUGGGACUGAGACACGGCCCAAACUCCUACGGGAGGCAGCAGUGGGGAAUAUUGGACAAUGGGCGCAAGCCUGAUCCAGCCAUGCCGCGUGAGUGAUGAAGGCCUUAGGGUUGUAAAGCUCUUUCACCGAUGAAGAUAAUGACGGUAGUCGGAGAAGAAGCCCCGGCUAACUUCGUGCCAGCGGCCGCGGUAAUACGAAGGGGGCUAGCGUUGUUCGGAAUUACUGGGCGUAAAGCGCACGUAGGCGGAUAUUUAAGUCAGGGGUGAAAUCCCAGAGCUCAACUCUGGAACUGCCUUUGAUACUGGGUAUCUUGAGUAUGGAAGAGGUAAGUGGAAUUGCGAGU
rnacentral:rRNA from 1 species